GACGAACGCUGGCGGCGUGCUUAACACAUGCAAGUCGAACGGACAGGCCCUGCUUUUGUGGGGUGCUCGAGUGGCGAACGGGUGAGUAACACGUGAGUAACCUGCCCUUGACUUUGGGAUAACUUCAGGAAACUGGGGCUAAUACCGGAUAGGAGCUCCUGCUGCAUGGUGGGGGUUGGAGAGUUUCGGCGGUUGGGGAUGGACUCGAGGCUUAUCAGCUUGUUGGUGGGGUAGUGGCUUACCAAGGCUUUGACGGGUAGCCGGCCUGAGAGGGUGACCGGCCACAUUGGGACUGAGAUACGGCCCAGACUCCUACGGGAGGCAGCAGUGGGGAAUAUUGCACAAUGGGCGGAAGCCUGAUGCAGCAACGCCGCGUGCAGGAUGACGGCCUUCGGGUUGUAAACCGCUUUCGCCUGUGACGAAGCGUGAGUGACGGUAAUGGGUAAAGAAGCACCGGCUAACUACGUG
rnacentral:rRNA from 1 species